CAGCAAGUCCUAGGUCAGCCUGAGCCACAUGAGACCCUGAAAGGCCACAACAAAUACAUUUUACUCCUCAUGGACAAAAGCUGGAAUAGAACCAGCAACAGAAACAGAGCAGUGUAUGCAAGAGGCUCAAAAAAUAACCCAUGUGUCUCAAAAACUGGGAGGACCACUCCUGGUUGUGGGGAGCACUACCAGGACUGGGAGAUGGCUUCAAGGGGACAGAGGUGAGGUUGAGCCAUGGCUGUGAAGAUGAAGAGAGAAGACUAGCUCGCCUCCAUCCCACCAUUUUAUGUCACUGCUCUGAGGAGACAAAUGACUACUACUUCAAAACGCCUCACAUUUCAGUUCCACGUUAUCACACUACAGUGACUUCUAGAUAAGGAUGCCCGGGCUUCACAGCAUCCUGAGACGUGUUUCUGAACACAGCAUCGUUGCCAUCCAGCCAGUGUCCUCUGGAUCUCCUCGAGAGGGAUGGAAUCUGCAGGACAGCCAGCUCUGCUGUGUUUCUCUUUCUUUUUCUUUCUUUUCUGAGACAGGUUCCCAACAGUGCAGCUCUGGCCGACUUACUAUGCAGAUCAAGAUGCCCUUGAACUCACCAAGAUCUGCCUGCCACUGACUGCCUCCUUGUCUCCCAAAUCCUGGGAUUAAAGGCUUGUGCCAUCACAAAGUUCUGCUUACUAUCAUUGUUGUUACCAUUAUUAUUGUGUUUGGCAGGGUCUCAUGUCACCCAAGAUGCCAGCCAAGGAUGACCUUGGACUUCUG
rnacentral:lncRNA from 1 species